rnacentral:rRNA from 1 species
GAUCCUGGCUCAGAUUGAACGCUGGCGGCAUGCUUUACACAUGCAAGUCGAACGGUAACAGGUCUUCGGAUGCUGACGAGUGGCGAACGGGUGAGUAAUGCAUCGGAACGUGCCCAGUCGUGGGGGAUAACGCAGCGAAAGCUGUGCUAAUACCGCAUACGAUCUAUGGAUGAAAGCGGGGACCGUAAGGCCUCGCGCGAUUGGAGCGGCCGAUGUCAGAUUAGCUAGUUGGUGGGGUAAAGGCCCACCAAGGCGACGAUCUGUAGCUGGUCUGAGAGGACGACCAGCCACACUGGAACUGAGACACGGUCCAGACUCCUACGGGAGGCAGCAGUGGGGAAUUUUGGACAAUGGGCGCAAGCCUGAUCCAGCAAUGCCGCGUGCAGGAAGAAGGCCUUCGGGUUGUAAACUGCUUUUGUACGGAACGAAACGGUCUGGGCUAAUACCCCGGGCUAAUGACGGUACCGUAAGAAUAAGCACCGGCUAACUACGUG